rnacentral:rRNA from 1 species
CUUCUUAAGACGUAAUUUAAGAUAAAACCUGCUCAAUGAAACACUUAAAUAGCCGCAGUUAUUACUGUGCUAAGGUAGCAUAAUCACUUGCUUUUUAAUUAAAAGAUAGAAUGAAUGGUACAACGAAAUAAAAACUAUAUAGUUAAUAAAUUUAUAAAUUAACUUAAUAGUAAAAAGGCUAUUUCAAACCAAUAAAGACGACAAGACCCUGACAAACUACAUUUUCAGCUGGGGCGGCAUAACAAAAACACCUUAUAGUAUAACCCACACAAAAUAAAACUAUUAUAAAUAAAUUAACAUUAGUUACUGCAGGGAUAACAGCGCUACUUUUUUUAAGAGUUCUAAUCUAAAAAAAAAUCUACGACCUCGAUGUUGAAUUAUUUACCCUAAUUAUCUUAAUGCAAAAAUUAAUCUUAGGUGGUCUGUUCGACCAAUAAUAAAAU